rnacentral:rRNA from 1 species
GAUGAACGCUCGCUACAGGCUUAACACAUGCAAGUCGAGGGGAAACGACAUUGAAAGCUUGCUUUUGAUGGGCGUCGACCGGCGCACGGGUGAGUAACGCGUAUCCAACCUGCCCAUCACUUGGGAAUAACCUUGCGAAAGUAAGACUAAUACCCAAUGACAUCCCACGAAGACAUCUGAAUGGGAUUAAAGAUUUAUCGGUGAUGGAUGGGGAUGCGUCUGAUUAGCUUGUUGGCGGGGUAACGGCCCACCAAGGCAACGAUCAGUAGGGGUUCUGAGAGGAAGGUCCCCCACAUUGGAACUGAGACACGGUCCAAACUCCUACGGGAGGCAGCAGUGAGGAAUAUUGGUCAAUGGGCGAGAGCCUGAACCAGCCAAGUAGCGUGCAGGAUGACGGCCCUAUGGGUUGUAAACUGCUUUUAUAAGGGAAUAAAGUGGGUCUCGUGAGACUUUUUGCAUGUACCUUAUGAAUAAGGACCGGCUAAUUCCGUG